CCAGGGGGGCCCUCAAGCCUGGCGCGCACGCAUUCCAGACGACACCCAGACCAUGCUCCGCCGCCUGGGCGCCCAAGCUGCAGUCGCCCUCUGUGUGCAGGCAGCAGCUGCCUGGCAACCCCCGAGCCCGCUCGCGCUCCCAGCAUCGCAGAACCAGGGCCAGGUAUCCCAGUGGCUGCGAUCAAGCCAGUCAUUCUGCCCGGCGGCGGCGGCUGCACAGGAGCCAGAACUGAGAACCCGCCGCUCAGCCCCACACGGGGUGACUGCCGAGUGCCCGUGCCAGCGGCCCAGAUCUCCCUCAGGUGGAGGAGUGGGCGAGAGGCACGGCCUGGGGGCCCUCAGGCUGGGCGCGCUGGCGAUCCCAAGGCCGACCAGGCCAUGCACCUCCAGCCCGCCUGGGCACCUAAGCUGCAGCCGCCUUCUGUGUGCAGGCAGCAGCCUCCAGGCAACUCCCGAGCCCGCCCGCACUCCCCACAUCUCGGAACCAGGGCCAGAUGUCCCUGUGGCUGCGGCGAAGCCAGGCGGUCUGCCCUGCAGCAGCUGCACGGGGGCGGGAACCGGCCCUCAGCCCCAUCCCCGGUGGCUGUAGAGGACCCC
rnacentral:lncRNA from 1 species